GCUAUGCUGUACAGUCAAUGGCGGCAUGGCGGAGACGCGCAUUGGAACUUGGAAGUGGAUGCAUGUGCGACUUGAUGUGGCGUUUCAUGUGGCAGCCUCCGUUGGUAAUGUUCGCAGACUGGUCAUUUGAUGAUACGUGUGAACAGUGGUAGUGCUUGGGUGCCUCAAGAGGGAAUCGCAGAACAUAGCCAUAGAGCUAAAAGUCAUAGAAGAUUUUUAAACUGUUAUUUGAUUUUGUGUUGUUUCAGCAGUAUUAUGUCCUUCAACAAUAUAUUAUGUCCAAACAUGGAAUGAGUCGCAUGUGACUAAGUCAACCAAAUGUGGCAACAACAAUUAGUCAGCAAUGGAAUUAGUCAGUGGAAAACAACACAUUCAUUCCUGAGGAUGGUUUUGAGUUUAUCUAUGCUUAUUGCCAACUGGAAGGAUUCCUCUUUUUCACAGAACUUUACCAUUUUCAUGGUAUACUUAACUGCUUGUCAGCGGAUUGUCACUUGGCAUCAUUAGAAUGGUAUGGUCCAUAUCAGCAGUGUUAUGAUGCACUUCUUAAAUACACCAAUCCCUCAGAAAAUAUUCGAAUUGAAAUUAUGGAAAUUUCUGCCCUUCAUGCAGAACUGCACAAUGAUGGGUAGAAUAAUCGCAAUGUCGUGGUAGUAAUUCGCGAGAGAUAUGCCAAUAGGGUUUCGCUGUUUUCAAUUCGCAAUCGUAAUGGAUUUGAAGAGGAUAUUGAUGGAGUUUUGGUAUAAAAAAGUACAUGUUCGUUGGAAGGGCACCGAAGAGUUCCGGAUCCUUUUACUAUCGCACAUGUUAUGGUAUUUUUACAAAAAUCAUUGAAGUGCUUAUUUGGAACCCCUUGUUUUCUGUGGCCCCGUUUCCCCCUUGACUUAUAUUAUUUUCUUUAACCCUUUAGUGCGUGUAAAACUAAAGACUAAAAGAAGAAGAAUGAUUCAAAAACUGUGGGAGAGAAUCAUCAAAGAAUUAUACUCGUUUAGGUAAUCCUUUCGGAUUCAAUUCCGCCGUUUGUGCUGCCCUUUUCUCUAAAGCACUUCUACAGAGUGACGGCUCGUCGCGAGUGCAUGACAUCCAUAUCGAUAACGGUUUCCUGCGUAAAGACGAAUCCGAGCAAGUCGUCACUAGUUUACAGCAACUCCGGCUCAAUCUUCGGAGCUCUUUUCCAGACAGUGGCUUCUCAUUUCUAUCGUCAUACCAGCGAUCAGAUUUGAUGUUUGGAAUUGUUUUGGGUUGCUAAAGCAAGAUUGACUUUCUACGAUACUUCCACCAACGUGCAUGGUCGCCAAACUUUGUCGUUGUGUCGGACUGUAAAUCCGGAAGAUAAACGUCGAAUUAUUGGCGAUAUGUUUGUCAAAGUGAUAGAUAGAACGGCUAACGUUUUAAAUGUCACUUGGGAUAAUCUACUUCUCGGACAAGCUGACAUUUUCCGUAUAUUUUCAAGACAUCUAGGGGAGAAAUAACUAACUCCGUAGAAUUUUUAUUGGUAUGUCAGCUGUUCCAUUUCGCGUGGCUUCGGACAGAGGAUGGCUGCUGAAACGAACGUCUCUUCUUGAAAUUUUACCACUGAUUCCGUGUAUUUUGAGUUGCAUCUUGUGAAUUCAAUCAAUGCAGAGUUGUUCAAGGAGGAACAUGGCUUGGCUUUGCUUUGCUAGCACGUUUUUCAUCUCCGUUAGUCUGAUAUACCCAUUUUGUUUCAAAGGUGAUAGGUAAAAAGACUAGUUCUUUAUAAUCUUUUUCUCUAUCCAAAUCUCUUAGAUUCUUGGAGGUGUCAUCAGGUGAUGUUAGAAUUUAUUGGGUAUUAGUUUGUUUUUUAAAUCAAGAUUUCAGGUCUUUGAGAUGUACCUGAUGUACUGUGGUGGCCGCAAAAUCAUUCAAUGACUUGGUUCAAUCUAGGACUUGGUCUUUUCUAUAGUGGUCAACAGUUUUAAUUUGCAGAGAUCCUGGAGGCACCUGAUGUGUUUCAUUGGCGUUGGAGUCGCUAGGUGACAGUAAUGUUAUGUUGUCAGUUUAAAUAAAACAUAUCCAGUAUCA